rnacentral:rRNA from 1 species
CGGGUAGCCGGCCUGAGAGGGUGUACGGCCACAUUGGGACUGAGAUACGGCCCAGACUCCUACGGGAGGCAGCAGUGGGGAAUAUUGCACAAUGGGCGCAAGCCUGAUGCAGCGACGCCGCGUGGGGGAUGACGGCCUUCGGGUUGUAAACUCCUUUCGCUAGGGACGAAGCUUUUUGUGACGGUACCUAGAUAAGAAGCACCGGCUAACUACGUGCCAGCAGCCGCGGUAAUACGUAGGGUGCAAGC